rnacentral:rRNA from 1 species
AUUGAACGCUGGCGGCAUGCCUUACACAUGCAAGUCGAACGGUAACAGGUCUUCGGAUGCUGACGAGUGGCGAACGGGUGAGUAAUACAUCGGAACGUGCCCGAUCGUGGGGGAUAACGAAGCGAAAGCUUUGCUAAUACCGCAUACGAUCUACGGAUGAAAGCGGGGGAUCUUCGGACCUCGCGCGGACGGAGCGGCCGAUGGCAGAUUAGGUAGUUGGUGGGAUAAAAGCUUACCAAGCCGACGAUCUGUAGCUGGUCUGAGAGGAUGAUCAGCCACACUGGGACUGAGACACGGCCCAGACUCCUACGGGAGGCAGCAGUGGGGAAUUUUGGACAAAGGGCGCAAGCCUGAUCCAGCCAUGCCGCGUGCAGGAUGAAGGCCUUCGGGUUGUAAACUGCUUUUGUACGGAACGAAAAGGUGCCUUCUAAUAAAGGGCGCUCAUGACGGUACCGUAAGAAUAAGCACCGGCUAACUACGUG